UUCCCUUAGAAACUAAGCGUGGGUGUGGCCUGGAAAAGAAACACGGCGACCCAUCCUUAGUUUCUGAGGUCA
rnacentral:pre_miRNA from 1 species